GACGAACGCUGGCGGCGUGCUUAACACAUGCAAGUCGAGCGGUAAGGCCCUUUCGGGGGUACGACGAGCGGCGAACGGGUGAGUAACACGUGGGUGACCUGCCUUUAGUCUCUGGGAUAAGCCUGGGAAACUGGGUCUAAUACCGGAUAUGACUCCGCGGUGCAUGCUGUGGGGUGGAAAGCCUUGUGCGGCUGGAGAUGGGCCCGCGGCCUAUCAGCUUGUUGGUGGGGUGAUGGCCUACCAAGGCGACGACGGGUAGCCGGCCUGAGAGGGCGACCGGCCACACUGGGACUGAGACACGGCCCAGACUCCUACGGGAGGCAGCAGUGGGGAAUCUUGCGCAAUGGGCGAAAGCCUGACGCAGCGACGCCGCGUGAGGGAUGACGGCCU
rnacentral:rRNA from 1 species